rnacentral:lncRNA from 1 species
AUGAUCUGGUCGGGCGUUUUACUAAAGAACCCAUCCUCCUCCACCCGGACCAGACCCGGCCCUUCGUCGUGGAGGUGGACGCCUCACGCCUCUGAUGUGGGAGCGGGGGCCGUUCUCUCGCAACGGGGUCCAGACUCUAAGCUUCACCCAUGUGCCUACUUCUCCCGGAAGUUUUCCCCCACACAGCAGAACUACGGGGUCGGCGACAGAGAACUGCUGGCUAUAAAAUGGGCUCCUGAGAAAUGGAGGCAGUGGCUCUUGGGGACCAACGAUCCUUUUCUGAUCUGGACCGACCACCAGAAUCUCAUUCAUCUACAGAAAGCCCGCCAACUCAACCCUCGUCAAGCUCGGUGGGCCCUCUUUUUCGAGCCGUACAACUUUCAUAUCGCCUACCGGCCCGGCUUCAAGAACCUCAAGGCGGACGCUCUCUCUCGGCGUUUCGUGCCAGAGUCAAGCCCCCCCGGAGCCUCGGACCAUUCUGCCGACUCAACGCUUCCUGGCCUUCCCCCCAAUGGCCGUUGGAGCAGUCCAUACAGGCCACACUUUCUGGCGAUCCGGCGCAGCCGGAGACUCCACCGAACCGUCUCUACGUUCCCGCCUCCUGCCGACAAGAGGCACUCACGCGGGGGCAUUGUUCACGGCUCGCGGGGACAUCAAGCACAAGCCCGUACCCUCCAGUUCCUCUGUCGGGCUCUCUGGUGGCCGUCCAUGAGGAAGGACGUCCGCAAGUUCACUGGUGCAUAUGAUGUGUCUGCUCGCUCCAAGUCCUCCAACCGACCAGGCGCUGGAGAGUUACAGCCUCUCCCUGUGCCCAAGCGGCCGUGGUCACACAUCGGGCUGGACUUUGUCACGGGACUGCCGGCUGUUGACCACCUGGACACCAUAUUGACAAUCACGGACCGUUUCUCCAAGGCCGUGCACUUAGUGGCCCUGGCCGGCCUCCCCACUGCCAAGAGAACGGCCAAACUGCUCCUAGAACAGGUGGUGCAGCUCCAUGGUUUCCCUCAGGACGUGGUUUCCGACCGAGGACCCCAGUUCGUCUCAUGCUUCUGGAAAGCAUUCUGUCGCCUGGUCGGUGCUUCCACCAGCCUGUCCUCUGGGCACCAUCCGCAGACGAACGGUCAGACGGAGAGAGCUAACCAGCAGCUUUGA